AUUACGGUGUCUUACCGUAAAUGCACACGUGAUCGGUGGGAGAGGGGGAACCAAAGGGUAGCUGACGCAUAGAGGAGCAUGGUUUCAGUCAAAGUUUUAUGGAUUUCAUCUCAAGUUGACGCUCAUUUACAGGAACAUGAAGACGGACUGGUUUCACAUGCAGAUGUUGCAGCAUCUGCAUCUGAUAUUGAGAAGACACUCAAUCUACCUGCCAAUCCUCAUCUGAUUUUGCUGGGUUAGUGUGUCAUUACACAUGAUGAAGAGACAUUUACUGAUGUUUAAGAUAUAAAAUUGUAACAUUGCUGUUGUGCACG